rnacentral:rRNA from 1 species
AGUAAUGUCUGGGAAACUGCCUGAUGGAGGGGGAUAACUACUGGAAACGGUAGCUAAUACCGCAUAACGUCGCAAGACCAAAGUGGGGGACCUUCGGGCCUCAUGCCAUCAGAUGUGCCCAGAUGGGAUUAGCUAGUAGGUGGGGUAACGGCUCACCUAGGCGACGAUCCCUAGCUGGUCUGAGAGGAUGACCAGCCACACUGGGACUGAGACACGGUCCAG